rfam:Penicillium chrysogenum Wisconsin 54-1255 complete genome, contig Pc00c13
GGCAGUUUGGCCGAGUGGUUAAGGUUAGACCGCCCAUAGUUCUGCCAAACCAGAACCAAUUAGACUAACAAAAUCAAUAGGCGCCAGACUUAAGAGAAUUCUGAAUUCUGGUCACGAAAGUGUCGUGGGUUCGAACCCCACAGCUGCCA